rnacentral:tRNA from 1 species
GCACUUUGGCUGGCGGGCGAUCAUGCUGGUGCUGGCGGCAUUGGGCGUGCUGGUGCUGUUCAACUCGGCAGUGAUGCUC